UCCNCCCAGAGCUACCGGCUACAGGUCCC
rnacentral:piRNA from 1 species